rnacentral:rRNA from 1 species
UACAGAGGGUGCGAGCGUUAAUCGGAAUUACUGGGCGUAAAGCGUGCGUAGACGGCUAUCUAAGUCGGGUGUGAAAGCCCCGGGCUCAACCUGGGAAUUGCAUUCGAGACUGAAUAGCUAGGGUACGGUAGAGGGAAGUGGAAUUUCCGGUGUAGCGGUGAAAUGCGCAGAUAUCGGGAGGAACACCAAUGGCGAAGGCAGCUUGCUGGGACGGUACUGACGCUGAGACGCGAAAGCUAGGGGAGCAAACGGG